CACACCUCAGAUGGAACGCUGAAGUAAUCUUCCAAGCAAAACCGCACAACUCACUUCACAGCUUAAUGAAACUCAUACUUUACGGCUGGUGCCGGCGCACUCAGUCAUGUCUGACUCCUUAAGACGGCAUGGACUGUAGCCCGCCAGGCUCCUCUGUCCAUGGGAUCUCCCAGGCAAGAAGACUGGAGUGGGUUGCCAUUUUCUCCUCCAGGGGAUCUUCCUGACCCAGGGAUUGAACCCACGUCUCCUGCAUGGGCAGGCACAUGCUUUACCACUGAACCAACCGGGAAGUCCAUCUUUAUGUCCUGGCACAGAAGGAAGUCAGCAAGAAGCAAAGUGAUAGGUUGUUAAAGGAUAUUGAAUAUACUUCCCUGUGCUAUACACCUGUGCUGGUCAGAUGGUUCUCUAAGCACUGACGACAGAAUUCUGGCUGUCCCCACCUUGUGGUUUUUGCCAUCUUCACAACAACAACAAAAAAGAUACCAAAUGGCCGAUAAACUCAUGAAAAAGGGCUCACCACCAUGAAUCAUCAGGGAAAUGCAAUUUUAAAUCACAAUAAGACGCCAUUGCCCUCCAGAUGGCUAACUCUUAAAAGCCUUACAACCUUAAAUACCGGUGAGGAUCUGGAGCAACUGGAAUGCUCGUACAUGAUGGAGGAAAUGAAUCAUACACCUAAUCUGUGACCCAGCAAUUCUGCUCCUAAUUAUUUCCCCAAGGGAAAGAAAGCAAAACAGCUGUCUGCAAAGAUUUUCCCAGUAAUGUUCAUAACAGCUUUGUUUAUUAACAGUCAAAACCUAGACACAGCACAAACAUGUAUCCCCAAGAGAAUAGAUAUCGGGUCACCAUCACAGGGAGAGGCUCUGGUGCUGCCUCUCUUUCAUCAGAAAAGGAAAGGUUUUCCCAGAAGCCUUCCAGCAGAUUUCGUCUUACCGGUCACUGCCCUGAACUGCGUUAACAAGUCCAACCAUACCUACGAAAGAGUUGGGAAAGCGAUUAAUUACGCGGGUACACUGUCAGGCUUCCUCCGCCCAUCACUUAGCUCAUUAGCAAAGAGGGGAGGUUGGAUACUGAGAGGUCCAUUAAGGGUGUGUGUCACACGGAUCACUGGCUGCAUUACAUGGUGUCAGGUGCUGCUAGCAUCAUCAGGUACAUGUCCAUUUGUGUGACUCUCACGCUAGUUGCUUCCUCUGAACUUCUGUGUUAGCUGGUCAGUAAAAAGACACCCCGAAACAUGCGAUCCCCAAAGUGCACGGCUUGAAGACCUGACGCAGCUGUUCCACCCAGUGUGCUUGAAGAUCCUCGUGGUAUCGUGAGUCACAUUGCUGAGAGCAGAGCUCAAUCAGUCAAGGAAUUCGGUAAUAGCCCAGAAACGAAAUGCCUUGGGUUUCUCCUAUUUUGAGCUGACCUUUAGGAAGCCCCAUUAACAAUCAGAUCAAAGUAUGCAUUGUCAUCUUUGUCAACAAUCGGUCUGAAAACUUCAAAGGUACACUCAGUGUGUGUGUCACCUGCUACAAACUGAUGGGAAUGACCUUGGUGGAGAGAUACCACAGCUACCUACAGGUCUGUUAACUCAGCGCUAGCAGGUGUUUUAUUAACUUGGGGUCGUACCCACUGUGAAGCUCAACCCUGCUCCUCCAGCAAGGCUGAUUUGUGACUGGAGAAAAUCCUUCUAUUUUCAGACCCCAAGUAAAACACACACCUAAUGCUAAUAGCAAGACAAAGAUUGUUAUUCAAUUCUUAACCAUCACCAGUAGGCACAAACAAAAACUUGUUCUUUACGUCCUAAGCAAGGAAGAUUAUUGAGACUAAUUGAUUAUUGAUAUCGCUGAAUCUCUCUUCUCAGCCUCUGUGACGUCACAGAGUCCCAGUCUUCUCUGUUGUAGAAGCUUCGAUUUCUCCUGUUCCCCUAAUCUUACCUUCUCCGAGUUAAAACCUCAAAUUCACUCUCCAUGAUAAGCCACUUACUGGUGACUUUGGGCAACUGACUUCUCUGGACCUCAGGUUCCUUAUUGGGAAGAAAGAAACCAAUGACAUUCUUAUCCUAGUCAGUGUACUCAGACGUGUCUGACUCUCUGUGACCCCAUGGACUGUAGCCCGCCAGGCUCCUCUGUCCAUGGAAUUCUCCAGGCAAGAGUAGUACUCUUGGGUUGCCAUUUCCUUCUCCAGGGGAUUGUUCUGAUCCAGGGAUCGAACUCAAGUCUCCUGCACUGAGUCUCCUGUAUUGUAGGUGGAUUCUUCACCAGUGAGUCACUGCAGAAGCCCAACACUCACGUAGGAUGAAAGUAAAAAGCCAGUGAAGAGAGCAGCAUGGUUAGUCCUGACUCAUAGAGGUUACAACAGACAUCAUUGUUCUUGCCAUUUAAAUCUUUUUUUUUUUUAAUCAGUGUUUCCAUUGUUUUAAAAUAUAGCAUUAAUAAGCUAUCUGUAGUACAAGGCCAGAGUGGUGUACUGGUGGGAGAUGUCAUUUAAAAAAUGGUUGGAAGGAAAUAUUAGAGAUUUGAAAGUCUGUUAAAGGAGAGUUGGGAAAUGGGGAUUUAUUGUUUACUGUGUAUAGAGUUUCAGUCCUGCAAGUUGAAAAAUUUCUGGAGAUUUGUUGUUCUGCAAUGUGAUUAUAUCUCACGUUACUGAACCGUGCACUUAAAAAUGGUCAAUUUCGUAUUAAAAAUAAAAUCAUAGUAGUGAAAAAAUAAAAUAUAGCAUUAAUAAGCAUUCAUAUUAGUAAAGGCCAAUAGAUCAGGAAACAGCUGUCUUUGAAAAGAUGUUGUUUUUACAGUUUACCCAAGAGGUGGGGGAACGCCACACCGAGGCUGUGUGCACAGGCAGGGAAGAUGGGUCAGAAGGCAGGGGCGGAGAGUGUGGGCUGGAGCCGUCACAGUGGUUUCUCUGGGAAAGAAUAAGCGAGGCAGGGUCAACAGGCGUGAGACUGGCUGGGUGGAAUAAGUCAACAGGUUCAGGAGUAUUGGCGGUGUCCUUGCUUGUCUGGGACCUGGUACCUGCCCUGAGCUGGUUAGGGCAAGUCCACAGUGGACCAGAGCCAGAGAACCCAAGCAAAGCGGUAGCUGGGGUAUAGGCUCUGGAAUGGUUGGUUCUACUGGAAAAGCACGCUCACAGAUGAGUUGUUUUUGCUCUAGAAAUGAGCAGUCAGUCACCAACCCAGACAAAUCUGUACCCGUCAUGUCAUAACUGCCCAUCCCCACCGCCCCCACCCCCAGCCCUUGGUAGCUUCCAUUUUCUGUCUCUAUGAAUUUGCCUAAUCAAGGCACCUGAUAUACAUGGAAUCUUACGAUAUCCAUUGUAUUGUCCUCUGGUUUGUGGCUUGUUUUGUUGGAGGGAGGAAACCAAUUCUGCCUCCACUGUUUCUUUGACUUGCUUUUAUUAUUAUAAUCAUACCCAAUGGCUUGCCUGGAGGACCCUGCCCCUCUGUUUGACUGUAAACUAAAGUGCCUUUGUUCAGCUCCAGGAGACGUAGCUUGUCCCUGCCCACCUGUGAAUUGAAGAGAUGGGACACCCCUCUUCUGAAGGCUGGCCCUUCCCUCGGAGACGUCUCACCAGACUGAAGACCCUUGCGCUUGACUGCCCCACUGCCUCUCCCUCUCUAUUCCCUUUUGACGUUAGUUCCUCGUUGCUCCUUUCUCUCUGAUCUAUAAAAGAACCUGGCGUUCAGCCCCCAAUGAGACGUUACUUGGAGGCGCAGCCUGCCGUCUUCUUGGUCUGCUGGCCCCCUGACUCAAGUCUCUUCCUUGCCUCAGCAUGUCGUCCCUGGGAUUCAUUGGUCUGUGAUGCAGUGAGCAGAGAGAGCUUGGACUCGGUGACAAUCUCACUUAGCAUAAUGUUUUCUAGGUUCCUCCAUAUUGCAGCUUUGACCAGAAUGUCAUUUAUUUUAUUUUAUUUUUUGGCUAUACUGCACAGCAUGUGGGAUCUUCACUUCUGUACCAGGGAU